rnacentral:rRNA from 1 species
UACGUAGGGUGCGAGCGUUGUCCGGAAUUACUGGGCGUAAAGAGCUCGUAGGUGGUUUGUCGCGUUGUCCGUGAAAACUCACAACUCAAUUGUGGGCGUGCGGGCGAUACGGGCAGACUGGAGUACUGCAGGGGAGACUGGAAUUCAUGGUGUAGCAGUGAAAUGCGUAGAGAUCAUGAGGAAGACCAGUGGCGAAGGCGGGUCUCUGGACAGUUCCUGACACUGAGGCACGAAGGCCAGGGGAGCAAACGGG